rnacentral:misc_RNA from 1 species
AAAGUCGUAACAAGGUCUCCGUUGGUGAACCAGCGGAGGGAUCAUUACUGAGUGCAAACUCUCCAACCAUUGUGUAUCUACCUAUUUUUGCUUCUCCGGUAGGCGGUUCCAGGGAGGGAUCGAGCCUAUGGCCUAGCCUAAGCACCUGCCGAAGGGGUAUCCACUGCUCUAUAUUAUACUGUCUGAGAAAACAAAAAAAUAUCAAAAUUUUCAAUUGUGGAUCUCUUGGUUCUG